GGUAUAAUAAAUGAUUGUUGUGGGAGAGCGCCACACUGGCAGUGUGGAGGUCAGCGGUUCGAUCCCGCUAUGCUCCACCA
rnacentral:tRNA from 1 species